GAAGAAAAACAAUUAUUUGACUAGGUAUUUAAACAUGAGAUAUAAUUAUAUUUUUUAAUGUAGUCCCCCCCCCUUCUUCUAAUAAAAUGUAACUUAAUCUUGGUCUAUCAUCGUUAUACAUGGCCCAAGUAAGUAUAAGCUGAAUGUGAAUCGAAAUGGUUUUAAAAUUCUAAACGCGUUUAUUCUAAUACGUAUACACCUAUUGGUUCGUAUACCUACUUAGGUACAAUAUUGUUACUUUUUAAUCAUAAUAUGUGUUAUUUACAUUUUUUGUAUAAAAAUGUAUAUAUUAUAACGGUCAGAUCACCUCGUGCAUUUUCCAUAGUUAAACGGAUGUGGACGAUUACAGUGUGUACUUUAUCGAAGCGGUCAUUUUUCACAUUCAUAAUAUUAUAACAAAUCAGAAAAAACCACCGAAAAAUGGUCAAAUUUACAUACACCACCCAUUUUUUUAUAAAAAUGAUUUGGAUCUUUCUUUUUUAUAACUCCAAGAAUUUCAAUUUUAGAUACUUGAAACUCUCACUAGUUAUUAAUCGUAAAUUAUAGAUUUAAACGUCAUAGUAUUAAAAGAAUAAUCUGAUAGAUCUUUAAAAAAAUGUCGAAAAACAAAUAUUGGCAAGACUAGAUAAAAACUAUAACGAUGAUAAAUAAAACCGACAUCUCAGUUUAAAAAAAACCGAUAACCUUGCAUUUUAAUAACCUAUAUUUACAGACGUGAUAAAAACACAUAUUAUAAUAAUAUUUCUGAAAAAUUAAAUUUCAGAUUAAAAGUUAAUGUUUAUGAUUUAUAUUUUAUUUUAUUAUUGUCUUUGCUCCCCCUUAGUCCUUAGCGCCUUACUAUGUAGAUACUAUAUUAUUUUUAAUUUAAAUUGUAUAUAGUAUUAAACUUUUUACGGCACAGUAAUUUUUCGUCACAUUUCUGUGCGAUUUGCAAUAUUUCGAGACGUUACAUGUGCAUACAAGGUCAUUCGUAUCAUACUCGUAUCAUUGCUAUUAUAUAAUAAUCAUAAAAUAUACAUGUUAAUUAGAUGUAUAAUAUUAUUAUGUACUUUGAAAAUCUUUACUCAUGAUGAAUUUAUUUUUAAUCACAGAUAAUGUUAUAUGCGUAGGCAAUUUUAAAAAUGUCCUCUAAACGCUAAAUGAUAAACCAGAAACCUAGCCGAGAAUCGGUUUUCAAAUGCGAUGGCCGAUGAUUUAUCAUUUUUUUUUUCAUCACAUAAUGUGCGACGCCGGCCAAGGACAGCGAAACGAGACGUGUGUGGUGUGUAUAACGUCAUCAAGUCUCCAUGUCUCAAGUCCUCAAGGUAAUUCAUAGGAACGAUUCAAAAUAAAAAAUAUCAAAAUAUCAUAAAUCUGAUAUCCUACUAUUGACAUUUGUACAGAUUCACUUAGCGCUAUUAACAAUUUUCAGUAUAACUUACACUCCUUGAUUACCAUAGAAAUUUAAAAAAGUAUAAUAUGAUUGAAAAGGCUAACAAGAACAUAUUGUAUAUAUUAUGGACACUAAUUGUCCGUUGUGGAAUUGAUGACAAUGAGAAGGUUGACAAAGUAUCUCGAGAAACAGUAAAUAACCCUAUGACCAAAAUACACACCUACUCCUCAUUUAUUGACUUCUAUAUGAAAGUUAGCACCUAUUGUAUACCAAUUCAUCGAAAUCCGAAUGAUGACACACACCAAAUAACAAAAUAAGAGAAAUCAAAAAUACUACCACAUACUAGUGGUAUGUUUAAUUCACAUAUAUUCUGCGAAGAGAAGAACUAACACUGUGGCGAACCUGUAGAAAACAUCUUACAAUACAGUCAAGCACCUCCUUUGGAACUGUCGAAACCAUAUUAUAAUGAAACUAUAAAAAGCCUAGGAAUGCCUGACAACCUUUUUGAAGCUCUUAGCCCAAUUGAAGACAACAUCAACAAAAUCAUUUCAUUUCUCAAACAUACUUAACCUAGAAAAACCAUUGUAUUUAACCAUAUAUGUUAAUAUUUAAUAUUGUUGUAAGCUAAUAACCUAAGUUGUUGAAGGUGUACCAAAAACAAUAAUAAUGUAUAACGUAAGAACUGAAAUAAAUAUAUAUAAACCUCAAGAA